rnacentral:rRNA from 1 species
CCUACGGGCGGCAGCAGUGAGGAAUAUUGGUCAAUGGACGCAAGUCUGAACCAGCCAUGCCGCGUGCAGGAAGAAGGCUCUAAGAGUUGUAAACUUCUUUUGUACGAGGGUAAACGCAGAUACGCGUAUCUGUCUGAAAGUAUCGUACGAAUAAGGAUCGGCUAACUCCGUGCCAGCAGCCGCGGUAAUACGGAGGAUUCAAGCGUUAUCCGGAUUUAUUGGGUUUAAAGGGUGCGUAGGCGGUCGGAUAAGUUAGAGGUGAAAUCCCGAGGCUCAACGCCGGAAUUGCCGCUGAUACUGUGUGGCUAGAGAGGAGGUGCGGUAGGCGGAAUGUAUGGUGUAGCGGUGAAAUGCUUAGAGAUCAUACAGAACACCGAUUGCGAAGGCAGCUUACCAGGCUACAUCUGACGUUGAGGCACGAAAGCGUGGGGAGCAAACAGGAUUAGAUACCCGUGUAGUC